AUUCUUGUGGCAGAUUAAAGUUCGUGACAGAAAUGACAAAUUAACCUUGAGAAUGUUUCCUUAUUCCAAAUAGCAAUAUCUACUACUCGGUGUUUGAGAAUAGAAACAUAAUCAUGAAGUUGCAGAAAGUUGGAUAGAAGCAAAGGCAACCAUAUUUUUGGUUUAGAAAGGAAAGAAAAGCUUGGAGGCAAAUGUUCCUGAGAUAUAGUGAAAUGAUGAAACCAGCUGGCAUGGCUAUUCAGAGCAAGCUGAAUGCAUAUUAUAUGUGAAAUAAGAAAAACUGAGAGAACUGAUGGAAACAUUUACAUGUACAUGUUUGAAGACCACAAGAUUUACAUUCCUUG